AUUGAACGCUGGCGGCAUGCUUUACACAUGCAAGUCGAACGAGUGGCGCACGGGUGAGUAAUACAUCGGAACGUGUCCCAUCGUAGGGGAUAACUGAUCGAAAGAUCAGCUAAUACCGCAUACGAUUGGAGCGGCCGAUGCCCGAUUAGCUAGUUGGUGAGGUAAAGGCUCACCAAGGCGACGAUCGGUAGCUGGUCUGAGAGGACGACCAGCCACACUGGGACUGAGACACGGCCCAGACUCCUACGGGAGGCAGCAGUGGGGAAUAUUGGACAAUGGGCGCAACCCUGAUCCAGCCAUGCCGCGUGCAGGAUGAAGUCCUUCGGAGUGUAAACUACUUUUAUCAGGGAGGCGGUACCUGCAGAAUAAGCACCGGCUAACUACGUGCCAGCAGCCGCGGUAAUAC
rnacentral:rRNA from 1 species